rnacentral:rRNA from 1 species
GAUCCUGGCUCAGGAUGAACGCUAGCUACAGGCUUAACACAUGCAAGUCGAGGGGCAUCAGGAAGAAAGCUUGCUUUCUUUGCUGGCGACCGGCGCACGGGUGAGUAACACGUAUCCAACCUGCCGAUGACUCGGGGAUAGGCCUUUCGAAAGAAAGAUUAAAUACCCGAUGGUAUAUCUGAAAGGCAUCUUUCAGCUAUUAAAGAAUUUCGGUCAUUGAUGGGGAUGCGUUCCAUUAGGUUG